GACGAACGCUGGCGGCGUGCUUAACACAUGCAAGUCGAACGGAAAGGCCCUGCUUUUGUGGGGUGCUCGAGUGGCGAACGGGUGAGUAACACGUGAGUAACCUGCCCUUGACUUUGGGAUAACUUCAGGAAACUGGGGCUAAUACCGGCUAGGAGCUCCUGCUGCAUGGUGGGGGUUGGAAAGUUUCGGCGGUUGGGGAUGGACUCGCGGCUUAUCAGCUUGUUGGUGGGGUAGUGGCUUACCAAGGCUUUGACGGGUAGCCGGCCUGAGAGGGUGACCGGCCACAUUGGGACUGAGAUACGGCCCAGACUCCUACGGGAGGCAGCAGUGGGGAAUAUUGCACAAUGGGCGGAAGCCUGAUGCAGCAACGCCGCGUGCGGGAUGACGGGCUUCGGGUUGUAAACCGCUUUCGCCUGUGACGAAGCGUGAGUGACGGUAAUGGGUAAAGAAGCACCGGCUAACUACGUG
rnacentral:rRNA from 1 species